GGAGAGGGGAGGAGGGGACAGGGAGAGAUAGGUGAGGGGAGGAGGAGGCCGAGGGGGAAGGCAGAAGGCCUGCAGCUGUCUGCAGAGCCCCACGCCUGCCACACGCUUCGUGCUGGCUGGAAGAGGAGGAUCUUCUCUGACAGAGGACAAAUGUUCUGUGGUCAAGUGUAUACCGUUCCCUGCUAGAACCGCGGACAAGCUCAAACCAGAAGGUGAAUGGUGAACAUGGACAUCCUGCUGCCUUCAAAGUACUCAGAAGAGGAGAAUUCAGAAGAGGAUAAUUCAGGUUUUCUUUUGCUAAGAGAAACUUGGGGUGAGCUGGGAGCUCUGCGGCACCGCCCUUUCUGCAAUGCUCAGAGAGAGAUGGGCAGCCAGAGCUGAUGUGUGCUCCUGUGUGCCUGGGAUGGAUGCCGGCCCUGCUGUUCUCUCCCAGCUCCUGGGUUUGGUGGAGAAGAGGCAUGGGCACAUGUCUGAUCUGUCCUCAGGAAGAAUCCCCGUGUUCAGAGCAAGAUGCUGGAGAUGCAGGUUCCCAGGGCCUAACUGCAUGCAGAAGCAGAGUCCUGGCCCCAGCAUAGCUCCAAGGGCCCGAGGACCAUGCCUAGAGUGGGGACAUCUGGCCAUGUCACAGACCUCUCCUUUCUGGAGGCUCCUGGGUGUCAGCUGUCCUCUCCUUCCCACACUCUGCCUGAACGUAGAAGGAAGAAGAGGGCCUCUGACAAAGGGCUUGUUCUUUCCCCCAGCCGCUUUGACAAUAAGCACAGCUUUAAACCCAAACGUAAGAGCCAGGAGAGCGGCUCUGGUGGGCAUCUCCCCAGGGUUCUCAUGCUCUGGGGGAAAGACAAGAGCAUCCAGACCCUGCCUGGGAGCUCCCUGGGCCCACGGCCCCAGUGCAUACCCUGUGCUCUCCUGUGCCACCCUCCCCCAUCCCCUGCACCACCCCGUCCUUCUCUGCACUUUGGCCCCUUCUCAGGGACAUUGUCUCUCAGUGCCUCAGGUGCCUGGCUCCAGGGAGGCCUGGGAGCUCACUUCACACUGUGCUCCCCACCCUUCUGAUCAGGAAUUCAAACUGCUUUGCCUUUCCUCCACAAGCACACGGAGCUGUGUGCGUGGGGUCCGCGACUCUGGGCAGAAGGUAGCCUUGAACUGCUUGGACACCCUCCCUCAGCACCAGCUUUCUGACUUACGUCUUGUUAAUCUCAGGUACUCCUUGAGAGCAGUGACCAAGUGUCCUUUAUAACGUGCCCCUUAGGAGCCCAUGUAGGUCCUUACACCCAGGGCUGGCUCAGGGAGGGCCUGGUGACUGAUCAGCGAGUCUCCUGGCAUCUCUGUCCACCCUGAACUGGGUGAAAGGAUCUUUCCUCCGGGGCCAAGAACUUAAUGAGCCGCCUGCUUGGGAGGAAAGCUAGACGUAUUCCCAUUGAGUAGCUUUGAAAAACAAGGCUGAUGGUUGAUCAUAAAGUCAUGGAGCCUGUGUCUCUAGUGUCACGGAAUGUUCGGAGGGGAUGUGGUGGUGGGGAUGGUGGGCAAGUCUGGGGCAUGGAAGCUCUCAGACUCCUUCCUGGGUGGGAGAUAAAAGGGAGUGUUUCCCUCUAGAUCCCGUCAGUCAGAGCCAGUGUUGAGAACAGUACCCUCCACCUUCCAUAAGCAGGUUUUUACCUUUGCUCGCCUCUAAGCGACCUCGACCUCCUCAUGUUUCCUUUCACAGGCUCCCCAUUAUCAGGCUGCAUUUAUUCCCCUUCCCCUCCCUACAGCUGCCUGGUCCUCCUAACUAGGCUGAAAGUGCCUGAGCUGGUCUGACCGCAGCUCCUCUGCUGGCUCCAGAGCCUGGGACAGGAAGGAGGCUGUGGAGUGGGAGAAGCCUGAAGCAGGCAGCCCGGGCGGGCCCACGGGGCUGUGCUCACUGUGACAGCUGGGCCACAUGCCUGCCAUUCCCUGCAGCAUGCUCAUCCUCUUGAUAUAGGGCGCUAUUGGCUGCCCAGCCAGUGAGUCCUUGGGCUCUGGGACCAGACGCCCUGCUGCUUUUAGGGCAAGCCAGUGGGGACAGGCUAGGACAGGCGUCAGCUUUCUUUCUCUCCUUGCAUGGCCAGGGCCUGCGGCCCGCUUUCUGAUUUGUGUGUAUAAUUAGGUCCCAGGGAUUCCUGCAGCCUGGGUGAGCCUCAGUGGGUGGGGCCCACCCGGAUUCCCACCCGGAUUCCCACCCCAUUCUGUGGAGGAACUGUAUCGGGAACCUGAGCUCUGUCCAGGGUCCUCAGCCCGGCUGAAAGAGACCUGGCCCACUGCCUGCUUCCAGGCAGAAUGAAGAAGGUGCCACUUCUCAUCCCCACUGUCCCUGAGGCCUCAUGCGGCCUGCCUUGCUCAGAUGUCCCUCCGGCACCCUGCACCUGAUGGAUCCUUUCUGUUCUCUAGAUUAUCUUAGCUCACGGCUGACAAGGGUCUAACAGCUUUCUCCUCUUGGUAACAUACGGGCAAGUUUACCAGGGUGGAUAAUGUCGGGACCUACUGCUCCUGGAGGGGUCGGGGGGGAGGGGCCCAUCCAGGGCAGAGGCCACCUGGCGCCACAAGUAGGUCCCUGUUAGGCUGAGCUUCGGGCUGGGAGGAAAGCGAACUCUCCCGCCCUUUCCGAAGCCUCAGGACCAUUGACUGGAGGGAGAGGGGCCCUGCGUCUUUGCACGGGGGAUACAGGCAGGGCCCGGCGUAUUUAGGCAAGUGAACCCCCUUCAUUGACUGCGUUUAGCCAGGGGAAGCGAGCCCUUGCCCAGGCCCAUCCCAGGGUCGUAGAGGUAACGCUAAACAGGGCGCCUUGGAGCUGAUCCGGUGGGGCGGGUUCGCGCUGCCUCGGCCUCUCCCGCCUCUGAGCGGGAGGGUGGGGGCUUAGGGCCCUGGCCAGGCCUGCAAAGCAGAUCUGGUUGGUUCUGAUCGCUCCUCACCUUGGUUCGAAUGUUUGUGUGAAGAGCUGAUUGCCCUGGAGGCGAAUUCCCGAGAAGCCGCUGGAGAGCCGCGAGUUGUUCACGCCGUAUUUUGCCUGUUGAACUCCAGACUCAGGGCACGUCUCUUCACUGUGGGGAAGAAAGGACACUUGUGAAAAACUUCUCCCCCGUGGCACGGACUGCGUAGGAGACAGUGGAUGAAAGAAGCGACCAACCUCAGCAUGAACUAAACCUAGAGACCAGGGCGGGAGGGGAGGAGAGAGGGGGGAGGGGUCAGAGGCCAGGCUCUCUGUCUGGUGGAGAAGCCCAACCACUGCUUCUGAAACAGCAGAGACAUCUGAUACACACAGAGGUCUUUUGUGAAUGGCCUUUGUUUGGUUUUGGGGAGGUGUGUGGAGGACGCGACACUUUUUUUGAUGGCAAUCGAAGCAGGGGCUGAGACCAACCUUGGUUGAUUUGGUGCCGACCACAGGCUAUAAACAGGAGCUGAGAGGUAGGAUAGUAAGUGGAGGAGAAUGUCCGGCUGAGCCAGACAGCAGCCGAGGGGUUACAUGUGAUAACAAUACCACAAUGAGGAAUUAACAUCUGUGCUGCACUUGGAACAGUGCCUUGAGCAGGUGAAGUUCUAUAUGUGAGUUCAUUGAAUGCAUUUUUAAAAGGAUACGUUUUUUAAAACCUCAAUUAGAGCUCAAGCUUUUAUUCAAGUAAACUUUUAUUUUGGGCAAAUUUGAGAUUUGCAGAAAAAUUUGAAGUUGCCCUGGUAGAACAUAGGUUUCCACAUAUCCUGCACCCAGUUCCCCUUGUUGUUAACACCAUAUGUUACCUUGCUAUAGCCAUCACACUGAAGAAUCAGUUGUGGUGAAUUCUA